UACAGGUGGUGCAAACGUUGCUCGGAAUCAUUGGGCGUAAAGCGCACGUAGGCGGUUCGUUAUGUCGGAUGUGAAAGCCCUGGGCUCAACCUAGGAAGUGCACUCGAAACUGCGAAACUGGAGUCCUGGAGAGGAAGGCGGAAUUCUCGGUGUAGAGGUGAAAUGCGCAGAUAUCAGGAAGAACACCAACGGCGAAGGCAGCUCGCUGGGACGGUACUGACGCUGAGACGCGAAAGCGUGGGGAGCGAACAGG
rnacentral:rRNA from 1 species